rnacentral:rRNA from 1 species
GGCCUUCGGGUCGUAAACUCCUGUCAAGUGGGACGAAAGCCGCAGGGAUGAAUAAGCCCUGUGGUUGACGGUACCGCUGGAGGAAGCCCCGGCUAACUCCGUGCCAGCAGCCGCGGUAAUACGGAGGGGGCCAGCGUUGUUCGGAAUUAUUGGGCGUAAAGAGUGCGUAGGCGGCUUGGAAGGUUGGGUGUGAAAGCCCUCGGCUCAACCGAGGAAUUGCGCUCAAAACCGCCAGGCUUGAGGGAGGCAGAGGUGAGCGGAACUGAUGGUGGAGCGGUGAAAUGCGUUGAUAUCAUCAGGAACACCAGUGGCGAAGGCGGCUCACUGGGCCUCUUCUGACGCUGAGGCACGAAAGCUAGGGUAGCGAACAGGAUUAGAUACCCUGGUAGUCCUAGCUGUAAACGAUGAGCACUAGGUCGAGGAAGCCUCCACACUUUCCCGGCCGGAGCGAAAGCGUUAAGUGCUCCGCCUGGGGACUACGGCCGCAAGGCUGAAACUCAAAGGAAUUGACGGGGGCUCACACAAGCGGUGGAGGAUGUGGCUUAAUUCGAGGCUACGCGAAGAACCUUAUCCUGGUCUUGACAUGUACGGAUGCUGCCGGUGAAAGCCGGUUCGUUGCCUUCGGGUGAAACGUACACAGGUGCUGCAUGGCUGUCGUCAGCUCGUGUCGUGAGAUGUCGGGUUAAGUCCCUUAACGAGCGAAACCCUUGUCGCCAGUUG